CGUGCGAUUUUCGUUUUUCCUCCGCGAUUAUACGAUGCUAUAGCCGACGAUUACACGAUGAUGAUGAUGAUAAUAAUAAUAAUAACAACACAACGUGUGUAGGAGGCGCGUAAAAACAAAUUACGCGCGUGCCUGUAUUGCGUUACGCCGAUGAUACAGCCGAUCGCGUACAGAAAAAAAAAUUAAGCAGCUCGGAUCCAUAUAAUAUUAUUAGAUUACCGUAUACACGCAGCCAGCACUCUUAAUUGCGCGCAGCACCGAGGAAAACGCGUA